ensembl:misc_RNA 7SK 7SK RNA
GCACAUGAGGGUGAUCUAACUGUGACAUCUGCCACUCCAUUGAUUGCCAGCAUUGCUGCAGAAUCUGGCUGGCCAAGUAAGUACCCCUUUUCUUCCUGACUGUUCUAUGUGUAUCCUUCCUGAAUCUGCAAGAGAGGUGGAGGAGAACGACCUUCCCCCAUAAAGGAGGACCAUUAUUUGGUCAAGGGUAUACCAGUAGCUGCACUACCCUGCUAGAACCUCCAAACACGCUCUCAAGAUGGAGCAAUUCAGGGGUUCAAAUAGACUCUUUAGGAAAUAAAAUGAACCCUGUU